AACUGUGGCUCUUUUCUCUUUUUACCCCAUGCAAGACAUAGUAAUUUAAUAACACCAUUUUGGUUACUGGAUUUGUAGUAAAUUAGUGACCCAAAUCUGGUAGUUUGAUGAUGCCAUCGUGGGUAGCAUCAUGUAUGUUCUAGUACAAUACUAAAGGUAUUUUCGUAUUUCGGAUUGUAGUAAAGUGGGCAUCAUUUGAUAGUAACAAGAUAUCGCCAUAUUGAUAAAUGCCUUUGUGGUAAAUUGAUGACACCAUUCUGGUGAUGAGGCCUUUCUAUCAAGUUUUGUGCAAGCCAGCGUGUACUGUGGAUUGAUCUGAGUUCAUUGUCUGGUCAACUUGCUGCUGCUGAAUGAGAAAAGCUCUAAACGAUUCCCUCAAAUUCUGGAUGUAAACGUAUAUAGCUAAUGUUUGUACUAGUGUGGGAUGUGUUUCUAUAGUACUUGUAUAAUACUUGUUCAUAUGUGCCCUGCCAAAAUAGCUUGUAUGUAAGAGUAAUCAAUCCUUCUCGAUUAAUAUAUUAUGGUAAUCCUACAUAUGUAUUUA